GCGCUCCUUUCGGCAGCACGGACACUAAAACUGGAGCGACACAGAGAAGAUUAGCCUGGCCCUGUGCAAGGCUGACAGGCAAAUCUGUGACAUGUUCCAUAUUCGA